rnacentral:rRNA from 1 species
CUACGGGCGGUAGCAGUGGGGAAUAUUGGACAAUGGGGGAAACCCUGAUCCAGCAAUGCCGCGUGUGUGAAGAAGGCCUGCGGGUUGUAAAGCACUUUCGGUUGGGAGGACUGCUUCUAGCACUAAUAUUGUUGGAAGUUGACGUUACCUUCAGAAGAAGCACCGGCUAACUCCGUGCCAGCAGCCGCGGUAAUACGGAGGGUGCAAGCGUUAAUCGGAAUUACUGGGCGUAAAGCGCGCGUAGGCGGCUAGAUCAGUCGGGUGUGAAAGCCCCGGGCUUAACCUGGGAACUGCAUCCGAUACUGUCUAGCUCGAGUACAGGAGAGGAGAGUGGAAUUCCACAUGUAGCGGUGAAAUGCGUAGAUAUGUGGAGGAACACCAAUGGCGAAGGCAGCUCUCUGGCCUGAUACUGACGCUGAGGUGCGAAAGCGUGGAGAGCAAACAGGAUUAGAUACCCGUGUAGUC